CCCCCCUGUCCUUCCCACCCCGAAACCGUGCGGCGGGCGGGCGUAGGGUCUGAACCUCUGGCCUGCGGGGAACCUGUCUGGCGGGCUGUUCAUGCCUCUAUACCUUUCUUCAAAAUAAUGCCUUUCGAGACUGGAAGGAAGGCAGAGGAGUGGGAGAGCAGAAAAUGGGAAGGCUUCGUGUGUGCCGUGAUUGGAGGCUGAUGGCACGGGACCUGUCACUGUGAAUUCUUUCCUGUUGAGAAUUCUUCUGUUGGGAGUCUCCAACUGACAAUUCUUCCUGUAAUUGAUGCUGGUGGUAUGGCUCCCCCUUCUGGCCUCUAUUUUAGUGAGGUUUCCCUUUAUCAUUUUUCACACCAACUGCAUUUAGGUAUCCUGUGAGAUUGAUUGGGGCACACCGCACAUCUGGCUCUCUCCGGUGGAUCCCAGGUGGGAAGCAGGAAUGAGAACUACGGAAAUUGUCAACUACCAAGUCCUGGCAUCAUGGAUGGGUUUCUUAAUAUGCUCACAUUGUUAUCACGAAAUGCCGCAGCCUGGGGGGCUUAAACAAUAAAAGCAACUUAUUUCUCA